UACGUAGGGUGCAAGCGUUAAUCGGAAUUACUGGGCGUAAAGCGUGCGCAGGCGGUUGUGCAAGACAGAUGUGAAAUCCCCGGGCUCAACCUGGGAAUUGCUUUUGUGACUGCACGGCUAGAGUGUGUCAGAGGGGGGUAGAAUUCCACGUGUAGCAGUGAAAUGCGUAGAGAUGUGGAGGAAUACCGAUGGCGAAGGCAGCCCCCUGGGAUAACACUGACGCUCAUGCACGAAAGCGUGGGGAGCAAACAGG
rnacentral:rRNA from 1 species